ensembl:lncRNA
GCCUCUUUGGGAGAGCCACUCUCUUUUCCUAAAGACCAGCUGGGGUCAAAGCCAUUUGGACAAUCUCUGGAUAAUCGAGAUUUUGAGAGCAGAAUCUUAAAGAGCAUUCAUGAAGAGGGGGAGCUAGGGCCAAGAAGGACUCUCUCAAAGGUCAUACAGAUGAGCCAGAAGUCUUAUCCAGCCCAUCUUUCGUCAAAGCCACCACGACGCAUGUGUUUAACUCUGUGGAAAUGGGGAGCCUGAGGUGUGAUGCUCAGAGCCACACAGCCA